rnacentral:tRNA from 1 species
GGCUCGAAAGCGCAUCUGGUGAGCGCGUCCGGUUGAAGCCCGGAAGGUGCAGGUUCGAUCCCUGCUCGAGCCA